AUGAACGCUAGCUACAGGCUUAACACAUGCAAGUCGAGGGGCAUCAGGAAGAAAGCUUGCUUUCUUUGCUGGCGACCGGCGCACGGGUGAGUAACACGUAUCCAACCUGCCCUUUACUCGGGGAUAGCCUUUCGAAAGAAAGAUUAAUACCCGAUAGCAUAAUGAUUCCGCAUGGUUUCAUUAUUAAAGGAUUCCGGUAAAGGAUGGGGAUGCGUUCCAUUAGGUUGUUGGUGAGGUAACGGCUCACCAAGCCUUCGAUGGAUAGGGGUUCUGAGAGGAAGGUCCCCCACAUUGGAACUGAGACACGGUCCAAACUCCUACGGGAGGCAGCAGUGAGGAAUAUUGGUCAAUGGGCGCUAGCCUGAACCAGCCAAGUAGCGUGAAGGAUGAAGGCUCUAUGGGUCGUAAACUUCUUUUAUAUAAGAAUAAAGUGCAGUAUGUAUACUGUUUUGUAUGUAUUAUAUGAAUAAGGAUCGGCUAACUCCGUGCCAGCAGCCGCGGUAAUACGGAGGAUCCGAGCGUUAUCCGGAUUUAUUGGGUUUAAAGGGAGCGUAGGUGGACUGGUAAGUCAGUUGUGAAAGUUUGCGGCUCAACCGUAAAAUUGCAGUUGAUACUGUCAGUCUUGAGUACAGUAGAGGUGGGCGGAAUUCGUGGUGUAGCGGUGAAAUGCUUAGAUAUCACGAAGAACUCCGAUUGCGAAGGCAGCUCACUGGACUGCAACUGACACUGAUGCUCGAAAGUGUGGGUAUCAAACAGGAUUAGAUACCCUGGUAGUCCACACCGUAAACGAUGGAUACUAGGUGUAGGGGAUAUUAAGUCUUCUGUGCCGUCGCAAACGCAGUAAGUAUCCCACCUGGGGAGUACGGCCGCAAGGUUGAAACUCAAAGGAAUUGACGGGGGCCCGCACAAGCGGAGGAACAUGUGGUUUAAUUCGAUGAUACGCGAGGAACCUUACCCGGGCUUAAAUUGCAGUGGAAUGAUGUGGAAACAUGUCAGUGAGCAAUCACCGCUGUGAAGGUGCUGCAUGGUUGUCGUCAGCUCGUGUCGUGAGAUGUUGGGUUAAGUCCCGCAACGAGCGCAACCCCUAAUAUUAGUUGCCAGCGAGUAAUGUCGGGAACUCUAAUAUGACUGCCGGUGAUAAAUCGGAGGAAGGUGGGGACGACGUCAAAUCAUCAUGCCCUUUAUGUCUUGGGCUACACACGUACUACAAUGGCUAUAACAAAGAGAAGCGAGACAGUGAUGUGGAGCAAAACUCAAAAAAAUAGUCUCAGUUCGGAUUGAAGGCUGAAAUUCGCCUUCAUGAAGCUGGAAUUGCUAGUAAUGGCAGGUCAGCAUACUGCCGUGAAUACGUUCCCGGGCCUUGUACACACCGCCCGUCACACCAUGGGAGUCGGUAACACCCGAAGCCAGUAGCCUAACCGCAAGGAGGGCGCUGUCGAAGGUGGGAUUGAUGACUGGGGUG
rnacentral:rRNA from 1 species